GUUCAUCAAACCUCACAGCACCAGAACUAGGGGACAUUCAGUGAACCUUCAAGGCUAAAGAUAAACAAAAGGAAACAUUUCUUCAAUCAGCUCUGAACAUAUGGAAUUUGUUACCCUAAGAAGUUGCUCAGGCAGGAAGUGCCGGGAUAAACUGAAGGGAUAUUAGAGGUAAAAGCUAGAAGAUGUUCAAACAAUUUGCCUGAAUGUCAGAGAAGGAAGUCCAGCAAUGGUUUAUCUAUAUUCAUACCAAAAGGAAAAGAAAAGGCUGCCUGGUUGCAUAGCACCUGAACAAAGCUUAUUUCUUUGACCAAAGGAGAGAAAUGCAGGAGAAAGUUCAGUUGAAAACCUUUUCUUCAGUGUGAGUUGCUCAACUCAUUUUACUUUUAGUGUUCUCUAUAUGAAAUCAUAAACUUCACAUCUUUGGGGUAAGAGUCAUUUGGCUUGUUCCUUAGGAGAUAAAGUCAAUAAAGAAAAUACCCAAUUUUGCCAUUCAAAAUUCAGGGGCAACAACAAAA